AACAAAACUUACUAACAAUAUAGGCAUACAACAUUUGUUUUGUUAUCUUACCGCUUGUUUUUUUUUUCGCCGUUACACAGUUACUAUAUGUCGACAGAGUUAAAUGCACAGGAUUUCCAGUUGACCGGACAAUAUACCCAAUCGUAUUCUGGAGCAAAUACGAACUGAAAAAAAGAGAACGGUUUGAGAUAAAAAGAGGUGGCUUUGGUGGAGAGGAUUUGCAUGAAGUUGGUGUGGUUAGACGGGAUCCAAGGAAAACAGAGUUACAUGCUAAUGAUGAAGUUCUGAGUAAUGAGAUUGCAUUGAUAGAAAAACAUUUGGACGUGAUGGAGGCGAAAAGAGUUACGGUGCAAAAAAAAUUGGAAGUAGUGUUCAAUGCUCAUCCAGACAACGAGCAAGUUAAAAAAUUGAUACAACGCUUUGAGAAAAUUGUACACUCAAAAAAAACAAGGGUAUCGCUGUGGCCUGAUUCCCCAAGGGAAAAAAUUGCUGGGGUGCUCUUGUCUCUUAACAAGACAGUCCAAAACCCAGAUAAUGAUUACACGGAAGACCCUGUAGAUGAUGUGCCAAACGCGGCUGCAGUGGCAAAGAUCAAUGGUAUGACCUUUUUUACAAAAAAUAU